UGUAGUAUGGAUGAGCUGAUGUUCCUUCUUCGGAGCAGGAUGGAUGACAGACACUGAGGGAGACCGAAUGCACACACCAGAGGGCUUGCGGGGAAGACAGACUAAAGACACACUCAAUACAGACAGGACACCGGGAACACUGGACAGACUGGAACGAGACAGAGAUCAAGAGAAGCAUCGAUGGAGGCGUUGGAGCUGGAAGCAGCCGAGUGCCAGAUUUGCGCUCUGGAGAUGAAGCGCAGCUCCGGGAACAACGGGCCAUGCUUGGUGUGCCCCGCACUGCGGCUUGCUCAUCUGCGGUAAGUGUGCGAUACAAUGUCAACACUCCGUCUACCUCAACCCCGCGUGUUUCUCUGUCCAGGCCCAGCGCACUGAGGACACAGUUCGCCCAGGUGUCGAUGGGUCGCAAUGUGGCUAUCAUCAGUGACUCCAUCUUUCGCCACGUCCGCACUGCUUCCACUAAAGGUAACAACGUACACACUCACUGCUUCCCUGGUGCCCACGUUAAGAAUAUUUAUCCCCAGGUACCCACUAUCCUGAGCACUGGCGAGAGCAUCGGAGCUGUCGUUCUCCACGUGGGGAUGAAUGACACCGGGUUCUGGUGUGAAAAUUCACAAAAUUCACAUUUUAGCCAUAUAGACUCUUGUUCAUCCCACUUGAAUCACAGCAAUGCUUGUCUGGCUAACCCCAUAGAAACUGUGUCUGUUCCUUGUAUUAUUAGAUCAAGAAAUAAACAUACUGUGUGCUCUAGAAAAAAUCUAUUAAGAACCAAUCAAUAAAAAAACGCUAAAAAGUGAAAAUACAAAUUUCAUAAAUCUUGGUCUCCUAAACAUCAGGUCACUAGCAACUAAAGCACUUAUCAUAAAUGAAAUAAUAACAGAUAAAAAUUGUAAUGCUCUCUGUCUCACUGAAACCUGCUGAAACAAAAUGACUAUAUUAGUUUAAAUGAAGCAGCUCCUCCGGGAUUCUUAUAGAAGUAUAAUGCUCGUCAAACUGGUCGUGGUGGUGGAGUUGCAUCAAUCUUUAGUGAUAUUCUUAAUGUUAAUCAGAGAAACGGACGUAUGUUUAACUCCUUUGAAGUAUUAGCUCUUAAAUGUUAUGCUUCCGGAUAUUAUGCAAAAACCUGUUAUCUCUCGCUUUAAUCACCAUAUAUAGACCCCCAGGACCCUGUGUCAAUUUUCUAAAAGAGUUUUCUGAUUUUAUCUCUGACUUACUAGUUAAAACUGAUAAAAUGCUAAUUGUAGGAGAUUUUAACAUUCACAUCGAUGACGCUAACAAUACAUUAGGGCUUGCGUUUAUGGAUUUACUAUAUUCACUUGGGAUAAAGCAAACGUUGUUGGUCCAACCCAUCGCUUAAAGCAUACACUAGAUCUAAAUCUGUCUUAUGAAAUUGAGGUCAUUGAUGUAGACAUUAUACCACAAAGUGAUGAUUUUAAAGACCACUACCUCUGCCUAUAUAAGCUGUUUACCUGAAAUUAGCAGAUCCACACCGAUAUUUCGCCCUAGUAGAACUAUUGUUCUGCCCACCAAAGAUGAAUUCCCAAAUAACUUACCUGAUCUUUCUCUAUUUCGAAAUGCACCCGCAAAUGCAAAUGACCUUGAUGUAGUAACCAGCAGUAUGGAUGCCAUCUUUACUAGCACACUAAAUACUGUGGCACCCAUCAAAUUAAAAAAGGCUAGAGAGAAUAAAACUACACCAUGGUAUAACAGUCAUACUCGCGCUCUCAAAACAGCAACCCGUGCCCUGGAACGUAAAUGGAAAAAACUAAUUUAGAGGUCUUUAAAAUUGCGUACAAAGACAGUAUGUCCAGCUAUAGGAGGGCUCUAAAAUCUGCCAAGGUUGAGCACCUCUGCAAACUGAUAGAAAAUAAUCAUAACAAUCCUAGAUUUUCAUUUAACACUAGUGCUAAAUUAACAAAUAAUCGGUCAUCUUUGAAACAAAAUGUCCCACCGCAAAUUAGUAGUGAUGACUUCAUGAAUUUUUUCAGUGAUAAAAUAGAAGGCUUUAGACAGAAAAUAGAAGAUGUUAAACUUUCUGCACUGCCUUAUACUUCAGAUCCAGUAAACAUUCCAUUGAAUCAAAAUAACCUACAGUGCUUCAAAAUCAUAGAACAGGAAGAGCUAAAUAAAGUUAUAAAAAAGUUCUUAAACCAGCCACCUAUGUUAGACCCAAUUCCAACAAAAUUACUAAAAGAAUUGCUACCUGUUAUAGGAGAACCUGUUCAUGUUCCAAAUCCUUACAAGCUAGCUGUUAUUAAGCCUAUUAUUAAGAAAUCACAACUGAACCCCAGCAACUGAACAGCUAAUUAUAGGCCUUUUUCAAAUCUUCCAUUUAUGUCUAAAAUGCUAGAAAAUGUUGUUUCUGCCCAGAUAUGCUGCUUUCUGCAGCGAACAAUGUUUUUGAAGUGUUCCAGUCAGGUUUCAGGCCUCAUCAGAGUACAGAAACUGCAUUAGUGAAAAUAACCAACGAUUUACUCUUAGCUGCUGACCAAAGGUGCAUCUCGCUAUUAGUUUUACUCGAUCUUAGUGCCGCAUUUGACACCAUCGACCACAAUAUCCUCAUAAAUCGCUUAAACUCUACAGGUGUCCAGGGACAGGCCCUACAAUGGUUUAGGUCAUACUAAGCUGAGCGUUACCAGUUUGUGAAUAUUAAUGGACAGCUUUCACAAGUCAGGCCAGUAAAGUAAAAUGACCAACAAUUUUCUUCUCUUAAACUCAGACAAAACAGAAUUAUUACUUAUUGGGCCUAAAUCCUGUACACAGCAGAUCUCACAACUGCAAUUAGAGAGAUACAAAGUUAGUGUUAGCUCUACUAUAAAAGAUCUGGGUGUCAUAUUAGACAGCAAUUUAAUUUUUGAAAGUCAUACCUCCCAUGUCACAAAAACUGCCAUCUUUCAUCUGAGAAAUAUUGCUAAGUUACGAAGUAUGCUAUCCAUAUCAGAUGCAGAAAAGCUAGUUCAUGCAUUUAUGACUUCUAGGCUGGAUUACUGUAAUGCUCUGUUCGCUCGCUGCCCAGCAUCAUCUAUUAACAAACUUCAGCUAGUACAAAAUGCAGCUGCCAGAGUUUUUACCAGGUCUAGAAAAUAUGAUCAUUUCACCCCAAUUUUAUCCUCCUUACACUGGCUGCCUGUUAAGUUUCGUACUUAUUUUAAAAUAUUGCUUCUUAUCUAUAAAGCUUUAAAUAAUCUAGCUCCUGUUUAUUUAACCAACCUUCUGACUCACUACAAUCCAACCUGCUCUUUUAGAUCUCAAAACUCAGGGCUUUUCUUAGUACCUCGAACAGCAAAGUCGAGUAAAGGGGGUCGAGCCUUCUGAUUUAUGGCUCCUAAACUCUGGAAUAGCCUUCCUGAUAAUGUCCGAGGCUCAGACACACCCUCGCAGUUCAAAACUAAAUUAAAGACCUAUCUCUUUAGUAAAGCAUACACUCAGUGCAUCACUUAGCGGUAUGAUAUAUGAAUGUGCCCCACACAGGUUUUUGCAUCUCGUUUAUAUACACUAUGAACAGCAGCUAAGCUAAUUAUUCUCUUUAUUGUCUAUUUCCACCUGAAGACACUCAUCCCGAGGCCCUCAGAGACUAUGCAGCGCCACUGAUUCGAUCCAACACCAGCGACGAGAUGAUCCCAAGGUUUCCAUAAUCCUGGACCAGGCCGUAUCCUGAGAAGCUGCUGUGGUGUUCCUGUGAUGCUCCGGGUACCGACGAGUCUCGCUGACGUCCAGCUUCUCCAGCGCCUAGACUGCAGCUCUGCACAAGACGUUAUGGCCAUAUGAGAAAUGCCCAACUGAGUCUAGUUUCUCUUGAGGUUUUUUAAUUCUUCACUUUUGCCAACUGGAGAAGUUUCCCCUCGCCGGUGUGACCACUGGUUUGCAUGGUUUGGGACCUGAAGAGCUGUGCAUCGAUGGAUUUGCUCUUCAGUGUUCUGACCCUCAGUAGUGAAUAUUAAACCACACUGAACUGAGCUUAAACUCUGAACUCACACUGUUUCAAUUUACUAUGAUCUUCUAUGUGAAGCUGCUUUGACACAAUUUACAUUGUAAAAGCGCUAUACAAAUAAAGGUGAAUUGAAUUGAA